rnacentral:rRNA from 1 species
GAUUAUGGCUCAGGACGAACGCUGGCGGCGUGCUUCAUACAUGCAAGUCGAACGAUAAGGUCUCUUCGGAGAUACAUAAGUGGCGGACGGGUGAGUAAAAUGUAGAGAAUCUGCCCUAGAGUGGGGGACAACAGUUGGAAACGACUGCUAAUACCGCAUAUGAGCGUAGCUGAAAUGCUAUUCUUGAAAACUCCGGUGCUCUGGGAUGAGUCUGCAUCUGAUUAGCUAGUUGGGGGUGUAAUGGACCACCAAGGCGACGAUCAGUAGCUGGUUUGAGAGGAUGAUCAGCCACAAUGGGACUGAGACACGGCCCAUACUCCUACGGGAGGCAGCAGUAGGGAAUUUUGCGCAAUGGGGGAAACCCUGACGCAGCAACGCCGCGUGACCGAUGAAGCCCUUCGGGGUGUAAAGGUCUGUCAGUGGGGACGAAACUUGACGGUACCCACAGAGGAAGCAUCGGCUAACUCCGUGCCAGCCGCGGC